ACUACAGUAGCUAAACGUAUAGCAUUAGGCUGUUAACUUAAAAGAUGCUGGUUCGAGCCCAGCUUGUAGUG
rnacentral:tRNA from 1 species